CAUUACCAUCCCAGUUAUGUAGUUUUUUUUAGGUGUCUCCGGUGCCAGCAGCAAACUCAUGAGGUUUUCCAGAUUUAGGAACAUGUCCGAGUCUAUCUUCAUGGCAUAGGAUGCUCGAGGACAGCGUGUGGCUAACCAGUCCAAGAUCACCAUGGUCUUUAUGGUCAGGUUUCUGUAUGUGUCCAAGAAGUCACUCUGUAUAAGAUCGUGGUAUUGCUGGCUUUCUAACCUCAACUGCUCUUGCUGGUCCACCCCCUGUGCAUCUCCUCCUAAUCCCAGAACAAACAAGACUGUGAUUUUUUUCCCUCGAACAACAGUCUCGUUACCCCACGUGAUCCGGAUGGCGCUACGAGCCGCCAGUUGUUGAGGAGCCACUGGCACCAUGAGGACUAAAAAUGGCUUCUGCUGCUCACAUAUAUUUGGCUCAUCUAGGAUGAAAUGGUACCUGCGUGGAUAUGCUUCGUGAGUGAAGAUGUUGGGCAACAUUCUUGAGCCACUGUUUGGAUGGGUGAGACAGAUGGGAGAUGUCAGACACUUUGAUGGAGAGAAGCCCAAUAAAGACCACGAAGAGCAGAAUGGUCUGAUACAAAAGGAGUCAGAACGUUCAGGAGUUCAAACCCCAAGACCACCAAGCUGCCACUGCUGGGCCCCUGAGCAAGGCCCUUAACCUGCAAGAUGUAAACACAAAUUUUACUUUUUCUUUCCUGCUUUUACAUUAGAGCUCGGUUAUCUCCUUACAACUCUCAGACAAGCUCACAGAAGAAAAAAAAAACAGAAUGGACUGAAGUACAACUCUCUGAGAUGAAACCUGUGAGAGAGGCAUCUCAUGAGAACACAGUACAGUUGGUUUGCUCACCCGUAGCCAUCGGCAGGCGAGCUGUUCCUCCGCUGGUUCUGGGGAAUCCCGUCUGUCCCGGCGCUGAGCAGUCAGUACAGAGCUGGGGGGGAGGAGGCUGCCCCCUGCCCCGAUCGGUAGGAAAAACUGGAAACCUACAGACUCUGAAUCCUGUGCGAGAGGCAGUAUGUGUAUGUGUGUGUGUGUGUUGAAACUCACCCUGGCCUGCGGGGGCGACAGAGGACCGCAGCUGGAAGAGGAGUGUUGAGGAGAGGGAGGAGACGAGGGACACGCACUGAG